rnacentral:lncRNA from 1 species
AUCCUGAGCAAGUCUAACAAAUAACAACUCAUCCUCUCUGUCACUGAAGAUCAAAUAAUUAGGAAAGAGCAAGAACGCUUGCUGAUAGCGAGUGACUUAUCUGGGAAGGAAUCCAAGAUGUCUGUUGAAAAGAGCCUACCCUAUAAAUGAGGCAGCCAUGAAAGCAUAAUUAGGAAGGAGUGACAUGGUCAUGUCAGGUUUGCAUGUUGGGAAACAGUGAACAACUGAAUAUCCAAGUUUAAAUGUUGGAGAGAUAUAGCAAGUUGGCAGAACAAAACAGGAGAGAAGCCUUGAGCAAUCUUCACACUGCUUGUUUGGCAUCCAGUGGGACCCAUCAAAGGUUCCCUGAAAGCAGUAUUACACACUUCAGAAUUAUACUCUAAAUUGUUGCUAAGAUAUUGCCACUAGCAUUCUGUAUGUGUCAGAGGACAUUGAAGUAAAUCUUAGAAAUCUUAGAAAGAGCAAGAUGAGAAUGGAAUAAGCUGGACAUGUUAACAGAGAGUAGCAUCGUAAAAAUGGAAUGGCAUAAAUCAUGUUUCAUGAAAACUGGCAGGUUUGUGGGACUCAUCUGUCUCUUCACUUACCAGGCUGGGCUCUUUUACUUGUACCAAAUAUGAUAAUAUUCUGUCAAGGCAUAAUCAAGUGGACUAAAAGUAUUUUGGACUAGGCUGGAAUUGUGAUUGGAGAAUUAAUGGUUAAGUGAUCUUUGAGAAGGACAGAUAAAAGCGGUUACGGGAAAAGAGUAAAAAAAAAUGAACUAGUGCUACUGUCACAUUUCUCAAUUUUCCACUUUCUUACAUUAUCCUCCAGAUUGCUGUGUCAAGAGGAUUUUUUUCCCCCUAAAAUAUAAGAUAUUAUAUCAAGAAGUGUUGAAAUUUGUUUAAAUCAACAAGGUUUUAAAGACCAAAUUGAC